UACGUAGGGUGCGAGCGUUAAUCGGAAUUACUGGGCGUAAAGCGUGCGCAGGCGGCUAUGCAAGACAGAUGUGAAAUCCCCGGGCUCAACCUGGGAAUGGCAUUUGGGACUGCAAGGCUGGAGUACGGCAGAGGGAGGUGGAAUUCCAGGUGUAGCAGUGAAAUGCGUAGAUAUCUGGAGGAACACCGAUGGCGAAGGCAGCCUCCUGGGCUAGUACUGACGCUCAUGCACGAAAGCGUGGGGAGCAAACAGG
rnacentral:rRNA from 1 species